GAAUAUUGGACAAUGGGCGCAAGCCUGAUCCAGCCAUGCCGCGUGUGUGAAGAAGGCCUUCGGGUUGUAAAGCACUUUUGUUGGGGAAGAAACCGACCGGAUUAAUACUUCGGUGGAAUGACGGUACCCAAAGAAUCAGCACCGGCUAACUUCGUUGCAGCAGCCGCGGUAAUACGAAGGGUGCAAGCGUUACUCGGAAUUACUGGGCGUAAAGCGUGCGUAGGCGGUUCGUUAAGUCUGCUGUGAAAGCCCUGGGCUCAACCUGGGAACUGCAGUGGAUACUGGCGAGCUAGAGUGUGUCAGAGGAUGGUGGAAUUCCCGGUGUAGCGGUGAAAUGCGUAGAGAUCGGGAGGAACACCAGUGGCGAAGGCGGCCAUCUGGGACAACACUGACGCUGAGGCACGAAAGCGUGGGGAGCAAACAGG
rnacentral:rRNA from 1 species